rnacentral:lncRNA from 1 species
ACGCAUUAUGAUAUUUUAGAGGUCGAUCUAGGCUAUGGCAACAUAUACGAGUUUAAAAAAACCAAAAUAGUACAAAUUACAAUAGCAAAAUGUCAAGGGUAGAAGGAAUAUAGUAAAUUGAGAACUAUCAAAACAAAAUCUACUUAUAUUGAAACAAUUAAGAAUGCACAUGCUCUGGAUGAUUCUCAAAAAAGCUUCAUCCGAACAUUAAUUUGUUUAUCUAAUUCCGAGUGCACGCCAACAAAUAUAAUUAUAUAGAUAUAUGUUACCACAAAAGAUACAAGAUACACAUCUAAAAUGAAUUCCUAGAUAUAUACCACUCAGAAUUUUGUACUCAUAGUACAAACCCAAGAAGCCAUUGGAGAACUU